AUCAAAGUACAUGCUGUAUUAAGGCGAAACCUUGAAUGGCUCAUUAAAUCACUUAUGGUUCCUUGGAUCGUACCUUAUUACUUGGAUAACUGUGGCAAUUCUAGGGCUAAUACAUGAUGCUGAGCUUCGACCCUCUGGGAAGAAGCGCUUUUAUUAGACCAAAACCAGUCAGAUCUCGUGUCCUAUUAUGUGGUGACUCUGUAUAGCUCUGGGCUGAUCGCACGGGCUCGUCCCGGCGACGUAUCUUUCAAAUGUAUGCCUUAUCAACUGUCGAAAAUAGUAUUACAUACUCUAUACCUGCAUAACUUCUAAAGGUGGAG
rnacentral:ncRNA from 1 species